rnacentral:sRNA from 1 species
UAAUUGGUGUUGUAUUGGUUUUGUUUCUGGAUGCCUCUAUUUUAUGGUUUUUAUUGUGUUUACAAAUCUGAGGUCCUCUAUUUAAGCUAACGUAUUGUUUUCUUCCUUAGAUAUCUGCAGCGAUUAUAUUUGGAAAUACUGUAUAUCUGAACACUUAAAUGUGUGUGAGUGCAAGCAGUUUUACCUUUAGCUCUUGUUUUCCUGUUUAGAUAACAAAUCUCACUUUCCUUGUGUGCUUGCACUAUAGGUUUGGGACUGACAAUAGCUGACUAACAUGUCCUGAGCUGUGAGAGGGCAUAGCAAGAAGGCCUUCAUGCGGUAAUGACCCUUUUCAGAGACAAUGGUCAUCAUGGAUUAUGCGUUUCCAAUUAUUUGUUCAUUUAUUUAUUUUCUACAUAACUAAAUUAGAAACCUCACUGCUUCAUGGCAGUUGGUUUGCUAUUGCUUCCAGUUUUAUUAGGGCUUCAUUUUAUAUUAGAGCUGUUAAAAGAUAACGUUUAGACAGGAAUUAUCUAAAGUAGAUCAUAUGUAGCUAGGUUAUGGUGCAAGGUAUAUGAUGUGUGCAAAUAUGUCCACAGAAAUAAAUACAUAGUAGGUAUGUGGAAUGUAAAUUUAAGUCAAUCGUUCCACAUAGUUUAGAAAUGUAAGGGGCUUUUUCAUAUUGUUAACUGAGUGAGAUCAGUUCCCCUUAUGCCUGUGAGGCUGCAGGGUUUGUUCUCACCUGCAUGCACACACUAAGCCCAAAUAUUUCUGUUCAUUCAUUGUCAGAUUAGGAUAUGAAAAUAAAAUUUUUCUGUUAGUUGUUUUUGUAUUGAGAUUCCAAAGAUGGUAAUAUUUUUAUAGUAUUCAUGUAUAUAUGGAAAUACUUUUUUUGACGGCUAGGGUAUCUUUUGUGUUUCUGUAGGACCUAGAUGUGAAGGCUGGUGGAGGCUGUGUAAUGACCAUUGGAGAAAUGCUACGGUCUUUUCUCACAAAACUGGAGUGGUUUUCUACCUUGUUUCCAAGAAUUCCAGUUCCAGUUCAAAAGAAUAUUGAUCAACAGAUUAAAACCCGACCUAGAAAAAUCAAGAAAGAUGGGAAGGAAGGUGCUGAGGAAAUAGACAGACAUGUUGAACGCAGACGUUCAAGGUCUCCAAGGAGAUCUCUGAGUCCACGGAGGUCCCCAAGAAGAUCAAGAAGUAGAAGUCAUCAUCGGGAGGGCCAUGGGUCUUCUAGUUUUGACAGAGAAUUAGAAAGAGAGAAAGAACGCCAGCGACUAGAGCGUGAAGCCAAAGAAAGGGAGAAAGAACGGCGAAGAUCCCGAAGUAUUGACCGGGGGUUAGAACGCAGGCGCAGCAGAAGUAGGGAAAGGC